UGAGGAAUCUUGCGCAAUGGGGGAAACCCUGACGCAGCAACGCCGCGUGAGUGAGGAAGGUCUUCGGAUCGUAAAGCUCUGUCAGUUGGAAAGAAAUGUCUGAGAGUCAAUCCCUUUCAGGCUUGACGGUACCAACAGAGGAAGCACCGGCUAACUCCGUGCCAGCAGCCGCGGUAAUACGGGGGGUGCAAGCGUUGUUCGGCAUUAUUGGGCGUAAAGAGCGUGUAGGCGGCCGGAUAUGUCAGAUGUGAAAGCCCCGGGCUUAACACGGGAAGUGCAGUUGAAACGGGCAGGCUAGAGUAGGGGAGAGGGAAGUGGAAGUCCUGGUGUAGAGGUGAAAGUCGUAGAUAUCAGGAGGAACACCGGUGGCGAAGGCGAC
rnacentral:rRNA from 1 species